ACCAAGAUUUUGAGGAUGAGGAAGACCUGACUCGACCUUGUGCUAGUUAUGACGAAGCGGGAAACAAAGCUCUCAAGAAGAGAGAAUUUUCUGAGGAAUCUCUCAACAAGCCAACAGAUUCCUUGACAAAAGCCACCACCUACUACCAACUUGAAUGACAGAGGAAGUUCUGUUGGAUCACUGGACAGAAGUGGAACGAAGGGAAGCUGCUCUCCAACCUCCAGAAUUGAAGAGGAUAUUUAAAUAAA